GUACUCUCACACUCUAAUUUGGAGAAGUGGACUUGGGUGUUGCUGCUUUGCGGUGGCUCAUCUUAAAUAUGCUAGUGCAACUCAUGGUUGGAUAUAGUACAGCGUGAUAAGUAUCUUCGCUGGCGCCUUGUGAAGAGGGUAUCUGAUUGGGAGCUCUGUGCUUCUAACAGUCCUAUCUGGGACAAUGUCUGACA
rnacentral:misc_RNA from 1 species